rnacentral:rRNA from 1 species
GACGAACGCUGGCGGCAGGCUUAACACAUGCAAGUCGAGCGAGCGGCGGACGGGUGAGUCAUGUCUGGGAAACUGCAUGAUGGAGGGGGAUAACUACUGGAAACGGUAGCUAAUACCGCAUACCAUCAGAUGUGCCCAGAGGGGAUUAGCUAGUAGGUGGGGUAAUUGCUCACCUAGGCGACGAUCCCUAGCUGGUCUUAGAGGAUGACCAGCCACACUGGAACUGAGACACGCUCCAGACUCCUACGGGAGGCAGAAGUGGGGAAUAUUGCACAAGGGGCGCAAGCCUGAGGCAGCCCUGCCGCGUGUGUGAAGAAGGCGUUCGGGUUGUAAAGCACUUUCAGCGAGGAGGCGUUACUCGCAGAAGAAGCACCGGCUAACUCCGUGCCAGCAGCCGCGGUAAUAC